GUGACUGCGUACCUUUUGUAUAAUGGGUCAGCGACUUAUAUUCUGUAGCAAGGUUAACCGUAUAGGGGAGCCGCAGGGAAACCGAGUCUUAACCGGGCGUUAAGUUGCAGGGUAUAGACCCGAAACCCGGUGAUCUAGCCAUGGGCAGGUUGAAGGUUGGGUAACACUAACUGGAGGACCGAACCGACUAAUGUUGAAAAAUUAGCGGAUGACCUGUGGCUGGGGGUGAAAGGCCAAUCAAACCGGGAGAUAGCUGGUUCUCCCCGAAAGCUAUUUAGGUAGCGCCUCGUGAAYUCAUCUCCGGGGGUAGAGCACUGUUUCGGCUAGGGGGCCAUCCCGGCUUACCAACCCGAUGCAAACUGCGAAUACCGGAGAAUGUUAUCACGGGAGACACACGGCGGGUGCUAACGUCCGUCGUGAAGAGGGAAACAACCCAGACCGCCAGCUAAGGUCCCAAAGUCAUGGUUAAGUGGGAAACGAUGUGGGAAGGCCCAGACAGCCAGGAUGUUGGCUUAGAAGCAGCCAUCAUUUAAAGAAAGCGUAAUAGCUCACUGGUCGAGUCGGCCUGCGCGGAAGAUGUAACGGGGCUAAACCAUGCACCGAAGCUGCGGCAGCGA
rnacentral:rRNA from 1 species